UGAUCGCGUCCACCAGACGGGAAGCGGAAGUCUCCUCGCGUCGCCAACCAUAGACUGCGAUCCAUCUGCGUCGCGGUGCGCGUAUGGACGGAUUGGCGACGAAACUGAUAUUGGACGAGCACCCGCCGCCUUGCCGGCGAAACCGCGCCGCGCGUGCGGUGUCCCGAGUAUUCGUCUCCUCCGGCCCCUCCGCUCGGGCGGCAGCAUUUCGUCGAACAAUCUGCUUGUCAGCUAAUAUAAGGGAGUUGGUGAUAUUAGAUCCGAAUUCUUAUGUAAGAGCCAGGUUCGGCCAUAAUGGAUGCCGGUAGGCCUCAGCGGAUUCUCCUACUUAGUGGAUUAGGCUUCCACUUUGGCAAGAUUCAAAUUAUACCUCUUGUAAGCCACACAUGAUGACUUGACGACUCAUUGCUAGUCCCUGUGGUUUACGCACCCCAGUUGGAGUCCAUUUUGUGGGAGGUUAUCAUUGCCUUCAUAGUUGCUGGACCUCAGCUUUGAAUAUCUUCUGUGAGAAGCCUUUAAUGGAAGGCGAGAAUGUACCGUUGCUCAAUGCUGCUGCUCAUUUCUUGAAGUUCUUAUAGAUAAUAAUGAUCUGAUGCCAAGCUGCUAUUGAAACUCCUUGGGUGAUUUUGGUCCGUGACAUUUUCUUGUAGGGAGCAUAUAUAGGAGAACUAACCUUUUACUUACUGUAUACCUAUUUUUUUCAUUGCAUGGGGAUUACUAAUGUUACCUGGUAUAUAUUUUGGUUGGCUUAUAUCAGUUUACUGUUGUGAAAAUUCUAGUUUUCGGUAGCAUGUAAGCACACCUCAUUUUUAUUUCACCAUCUCCAUGCCUGUAUCUAACGAUCUGUCAAGGAGAAAAUGUUGUGAUUUUCUUGUGCUUCAUUUGACCGUAGUUUCAUAGCAAUAACAUGGUGGAACUGUUGUCUCAAUCACAUAUGUUACCAGAACUAGCUAAUUGUUAUUCCAGUUCUUUAUAGCAUUGAUAAUAUGCACAAAAGCCUGAAGUACUUCAGUUUACUACUUCACCAACCCGUGCACUUACAAUUUCUUGUAUUUGUACAACCAGUUAUUGGGCACUAGUCACUACAAGUACAAGAUCUUACUAUUGUAACGGUAACUACACGAUUUCUUCAGCUGGAUUCAUUAUUUUGUAAUGGUAACUGCCAUGUUCUGUUGUUCAACAGUUUGAUGAACUGCAAUUCAAACAAAUUUCCUUGAUAGAUAGUGCAUUUAUCUUCAGUUUCUUCUUCGUUAUGGUGAGCAGCUGGACAUUUCCAGUUAUGUGAAGGCAAGUACGUGUGUUUGCUAAUUAUUAUGCAAGUGUUCUUUGACGGGAAAACUGUAGGGAAGGCCCCGACAGUUAUUAGGCAACUGUUAGCCCUUGUGUGGCCCUGUACACAACCUUUUCUUCUACCAAUGCAUCAAGAGACAAAGUUUUUUUUUUGCAUUUUCUCGGAAAAAAGUUCCUUAUUCUCAUUUGAUCCAAUUUUGCUGUUUGAUUUCCCCACGGCAAUGAUUCUGUUUUCAUUAUGGAGCUGUGUGGUAGUUUUUUCCCCUCUGCAUACGACAAUAGAUCUUUCUACUCACUUUAAGCCUAUCGUUGUGAUGCCACUGUUAUAAGGAUUAUUGCUUUCUAAUUUAAAGGCAGUGAAAGAUACAGUUCAAAGGAUUAGCUUGAAAGUACCUGUUUGUCGAUUCCUGAACUCCUCAUAACUUCAGAAAAAUGCAGGGAUAUUACUAAUGAUACUUAGAAGAUGCUUAAAUGAGUCCUUAGAAGUCAGAGAGUAUGCCAUAUAACUGACUAUCUACUUAGAAACUCAACUCUCCAAGUCUCUAGUGCAAGCACCUCUCUACUUAAGGUGGUUAAAUUCUCCCACAAACUCACAAGCCCCCAUCAAGCAUUACUUCACUUGAGAAACUACCUGCCAAACGUGGCAAGAAAACUAUCUCUGAGCAUUGGUAACUUGGAAAAUUGCAUAUGCCCUAAUAUUACAAACUGGGAGAUUGAUAGGCUGACAUACCACAUGAGUUCUUUUUUUUUCUUUCUCGCCCAACGUUAUUAGUGAUGGGUAAUCUACAUUGAUGGAUUUAAUAUACAUUUUAGUAUAAUUUUUCAUAUGAGAAGGUGACAAUAUUUUUAUUUUAUGGUCAUCAACAUUAUUAGUAGAUACUCACAUUUAGUACUAUCAACUGUCGAGCUGUUUAAUUCCACAAACUCAAGUGCAGCUGUGCAGUUACAAAUUCAUUAUCUAGAACUCAUGUACGUUUUUGUUCAAGGGCACUCUAGUGCCAAUUUAUAGUCUGUACUUUUUAUUUUGUUUCAGUAAGGAGUUCAACCAAUUAUUACUAUAUGCCAAAGACUUCAUGCAGUUACCAAUUCAUCAUUCGGAACUCCUUUGCGAUUUUAUUUUUUACUCAAGGGCAUUCUGCUACCUAUUUAUAAAAUGCCCUUAUUUUUUUAUUCAUUGAGCAAGUGCUAAACUUAAUUAAGGUAUAUCUCAAUCUUGAAUUUGGUAAAGGUGACAGAUACUCAUGCAAGAAAUACUUUUUAAAUUACCUUGUCUUGUUUAGAAUAUGUGCACCUUUCUGUUUUUGCCCAUUUGACACACAGUACCUGCAUAUUUAUCAAUACUAAAUCUUGAUUGCCAAGAUCACUCAUAAAGUGAGUUCAUAAACAAACAGUACAUAUUUUCCUUACCAAAAUCUUUAGAUGUCAUCCUUUUAGAAUGAAGUUUUUUGUAGCACCAGUCAGUGUUAUCAAAAUUUUCAAGUGGUGUUGUUUACCUAACUUGAUCUUACUUGAGUACUAUAAAUUAGGGUCUGGUCAUCAGUACUUAGCAGCAAAAAUUUUGCAGUUUGCCUUGUUCUUAUUUAGGCAACUACUAUCAAAACUGGCAGGCCCACAACCAUGGUGCUGCCAGGACUGAGUAAUACUGGUGCAUGGAUUCGAGGUUGAUUUUUCAAUACCCUGAGUGGAUACAAUUAUCAGUUGUCUGGAGUUCUGAGACCAUAUAAUGUGAAGCACUGACAUGACAAACUACCUUGCUGUCGCUGCAUCUGUAGAUACCCCAAAAUCAAGCAUAUUUCAAAAUUUCUCAUCAUGUUUCCCUUCGGCAUGCUUGAUGAUAGUGCUAUUUUAGAUGUCUGGUGUCACCUCUUAGCUGGUGCUAGAAUGGCUAGGAUGGAUUAGACAUUCCAUUGACUAGUUGAAACGAGGUCAAUCACCAAUAGUAGUUCUGGCCCCGGGUCACUUUUUUGGUAUCCAAUCAACUUUUGGUUUAUGGUGUUUUGCCCAACUGAUGUCAUGUUCUGGAGUUACCACUAGUUUCUCAAUGAUAUCUUCUAUAUCUAAUUAGGAGAACCCUGCUACUUGAUUUCUCCCAACAUGCAAGAAUGCCACCUCUAUUUGGAACAUAUCAAGCAUAUAUGAAACGUUACAUCUCUUCCUGUGUUUAUAUUCUGAUUUUGUCUGGAAGGUGCGGAAUCUUUGUGAACUUACCAGUUACCACCCAGUUGAGAUUUACUCCCUCCAUUUCACAAAGGUUGGCGUAUUUUCUUUCGUUAAGACAAGGCUUUGAGCAAUGAUAACUCUAUUAAUAUGUGCUUUUCCAUACAUGAAAUUUAUAUCAAUAGAUUCGUCUUUAAAAGUUCUUGUGAAUAAUCGUGAUUUCGUAUCAUAAAAGUUACAUAUUAAUAGAGUAAUUCUUGGUCAAAGCUUUGUUUUAACGAACCAAAAUACACCAACCUUUAUGAAAUGGAGGGAGUACGUAACUAGCGUUACAUACUAGAUGCACCGGUUAGUGUAAUAUAGCAUGAAGAAAGUAAGAUGCCAUACAGAGGACUCAGGACACUGAUAGUUGCAUCUUUUCCCCGAACAUCUACCCAAAUGCAUGUCAUUUUGUAUUAGAAGUAAGCGUAUAGAUGACGCAAUAUUUACAUUGAAACCCAACAAAAAGGAAGAAAGCAAAAACCAAGCCUAGGCUAUAAAAAAGGAAAAACACUGCACACCUGAUAGUUGCAUUUUUUUUCCUCCCAAGGAUUCAACUUGUCAAAAUGAAGUGGCAUGAAGUUGUUUCUGCACUUGGUAUGUGUUGACAUACAUACCAGGUGGUGCUUUGGUACUGUUCAUAGUUAAACUAAGCAUGGAUUUAAAGCAUCUUUGGUAAGAUGAUUUCACAUACUAGUUUUCCUGCUGAUAUUGCUAAGUUUGAGGAUUUCUCCAAAAUAUUGGUAAGUUCCAUGUCAUGCUUUAUUAUACUAUGUCUUUGAACCAGGGAUGAGAAUUUUUUUGACUAAACUAACAUUAAUUUGUUAUUAAUUCGGACAAGUAGCAAAUUUUACAAAAAACUGGAUUGCUACCAUGUUUGCUAAGACCAGUGAACACCCUUUCAAUUCCAAAUUUUGUUAUCAAUUUUAGUUAUUAUUUUUCAGCUUCAAUUUGUAUAUUGAGCACGUUACGCAUCGCACUUAUUAAGUUAUUAUUAUGCAGUGACAUCCACUAAUAGGCAGUAAUACUAUGCUUUCUACUUUAUUACUCCGGUAUUGUGCCAUCUUCCAUCACUUACUAUCCACAGGUAUAUAUGCUUAUGUGAAGGCUUUACCUUUUGCUCAACUAAUAUAUCCCUUCUCCUUUUACUUGGAUGCUUAUGAUUAUUAACUCCGAGCCAUUUGGUUUCCUUCGUAUGCCAGACAUCUUUAUUUGGUAAUCAUCAGUCUACAUGGGAGCUGCCUUGUUGUACCGUCAUCAAUUGACACAUUACCCAUCAUGAAUUCCACUAGUUAGUGGUUCGGUCUACCUGGGAGCUGUCUUUGUGCUCUAAUAACAGUUGGGUUCUAUAUUUCAUGGACCAGUAUUAAUCCUCAAAUGAUUAUUCUAAGAGAGAUGUUAUUUCAAAAGAUCGUCAUAUGCAAACUAAAAUGCUCGAGAGCAAUCCUGGCCCGGGUGAUGAUGCCAAAUUGACCUAGACCACCAAGAGCCGCAUGGAAGAGAUCAGAGUUCUGUUCAGGCGAACAAGUCACAACAUCACCUCUUCCUGCAUUCGACAGAAAUCAUACAGAGUUAGCUACAUUAUUUUCUCUCUUAGUUAUCAGAUCAUCAUAAUACAUAGGUCUUUGUAAUACUCCCUCCGUCCCAUAUUAAAUGACUCAAAUUUUUUCAAAUAUGGAUAUAUCUAUACCUAAAAAGCGUCUAGAUACAUU